AAAGUGGUAAAGUUGGGCGGAGUGACUUGCAUGUUUGGAGGGUGCAUUCUGUUAAGCUGUCAACUUGCUACGUGUGCAACAGUAGAUAUGGAAGUGGACGAUGGAAAUGAGAGAAUAGAAACUUCUGCUGAAGGGGAAUCAAGUAUACGUAGAGUUGAAACAGAUCAAGAACCUUACGAGGGUAUGCCCUUUGAAUCAGAAGAAGCUGCUAGAGCAUUCUAUGAUGAGUAUGCAAAACGGGUAGGAUUUAUAACCCGUGUAUUGUCAUCCAGAAAGUCUGAGCGUGAUAGGUCAAUUAUCUCCCGUGGACUUGGAUGCAGUGGGCGUUCUGUUAAUCGAAAGCGAGGUGGGCAGCAGGAAGUUUGCACAGCAACGAUUUUGUUGAAGAGAGAGAAGCCUGGGAGAUGGGUGGUUAGGAAAUUUGUGAGGGACCAUAAUCAUCCGUUGGUGGGUCAAUUUCGAAAGACUCGUCGAACAUUUGAUGAGAAGGAUAAGAAAAUUCUGGAAUUAACGGCAGAACUGCGGGUUAAGAAGCGGUUAAGUGCAGCAUAUCGAGAACAGCUACUUGCUUUUAUGAAGGAUAUUGAAGGCCAUAAUGAACACCUAUCAACUAAAGUUCAAUUAGUUUUGGACAAUCUAAGUGAGUUUGAAGCUAAAAGGAAAGAGGUUUCAGACCAUAGAUAACUACCGAGUAUAGACCACAAGCAUUUACAUUAUAUUCCAACAAGGAUUCAUAAACGGGGCUUACAAUGGAGAUGACAAUACGUACUAUAUAGGUGAACAACACUGGUUCAAGCACAACAAAGCACAUAUUAUACUCAUGAAGGCAGUCUCAUUGGCUUUCUACGGCAUUCCUUGGAUUUUCUGGAGGGUUUCUGGUCUUUAACAGAGUAAAAGGUUUCCUAAUACAUAUACCAUGAUUCUUGGUAGCUCGCAGUGGGUGAUGAUGUGGCUGAGGAACAAGCUGGCUAGGCUUAGACCUGUGUUGCAGAUUAAUCACGAACUCAGACUUAGAUAAUAUCACAUAGUUGUCAGACACCCUCUGUUAAGACAUGAUUAUGCUAUAUGUUUUAUUUAUAAUUUCAAUAAAAUGUGGUAAUGUUUAUUUAUGUUGGAUCUCUUACUUCGUGCAAGUUUUUUGUUUUAGUAGCAUUCCUAACCCUAUGGGAAGGGGGGUGUUGGACAAGGUGCACCUAGUUGUCAAAGAGCCUGGGAGGAGCUGUAAACUGACACAUCUUGAGUUUGAUUUUGCUGAUCUAGAAGUUCCCUUGGAUUGCCUAAUACACGUUUAUGGCAGGGGUUUCUUUGCAAUAUGGAGAUGCAUGGAAAUAUGAAAUCAAUAUUUGGGGGUUUCUUUUGCAAUUUGCAAACCAAUUCAGCUGUAGAACUUCCAUCUCAUACU